rnacentral:rRNA from 1 species
GAGACGAGGAACUUAGGUUCUGAAGCAAUCGGAAGUGGUUCCAAGAAAAGCCUCUAAGCUUCAGUCAUACGAGACCGUACCGCAAACCGACACAGGUGGGCGAGAUGAGUAUUCUAAGGCGCUUGAGAGAACUCGGGAGAAGGAACUCGGCAAAUUGGUACCGUAACUUCGGGAUAAGGUACGCCCUAGUAGUUUGACCACUUUACUGUGGAAGGAUGAACGGGUUGCAAUAAAAUGGUGGCUGCGACUGUUUAAUAAAAACACAGCACUCUGCAAACACGAAAGUGGACGUAUAGGGUGUGACGCCUGCCCGGUGCUGGAAGAUUAAAUGAUGGGGUGCAAGCUCUUGAUUGAAGUCCCAGUAAACGGCGGCCGUAACUAUAACGGUCCUAAGGUAGCGAAAUUCCUUGUCGGGUAAGUUCCGACCUGCACGAAUGGCGUAACGAUGGCCACACUGUCUCCUCCCGAGACUCAGCGAAGUUGAAAUGUUUGUGAUGAUGCAAUCUACCCGCGGCUAGACGGAAAGACCCCAUGAACCUUUACUGUAGCUUUGCAUUGGACUUUGAAUCAAUCUGUGUAGGAUAGGUGGGAGGCUUUGAAGC